CUUGUUUUCCGGAAAGUUAAAACCGAAAAGUGAGUACAGUUAAGAAUCUUUUCAAGAGGGAAUCCACUAAAGUUUUCUAUUACAGCCAACACUAAAUGACGAUUAGACGUUCAAACAAACACCUUAACGAUAAAACAACACAAUUUUCGAAUCCUUGAAAAAGGUCCAAUAAGGACCGAAACGUCGGGUUAAGAAAACAUAUAGUUGUUUUUAAUUGACCAAACUAGACUGAAAUGCCAAUAAACCCCUCAAAGAUAUCAUCCAACGUACAGUCGAUCACCCAAAGAAAU